rnacentral:rRNA from 1 species
GUGGGGAAUAUUGGGCAAUGGGCGAAAGCCUGACCCAGCAACGCCGCGUGAGGGAAGAAGGUUUUCGGAUUGUAAACCUCUGUCCUUGGUGACGAACACAAUGACGGUAGCCAAGGAGGAAGCCCCGGCUAACUACGUGCCAGCAGCCGCGGUAAUACGUAGGGGGCAAGCGUUGUCCGGAAUGACUGGGCGUAAAGGGCGUGUAGGCGGCCGAUUAAGUCUGGAGUGAAAGUCCUGCUUUCAAGGUGGGAAUUGCUUUGGAGACUGGUUGGCUUGAGUGCGGAAGAGGUAAGUGGAAUUCCCAGUGUAGCGGUGAAAUGCGUAGAGAUUGGGAGGAACACCAGUGGCGAAGGCGACUUACUGGGCCGUAACUGACGCUGAGGCGCGAAAGCGUGGGGAGCGAACAGGAUUAGAAACCCUGGUAGUCC